UAAACGCUGAGGUACGAGAGCAGGAAACCAAAGGAUGUAAUAUUAGAGAGCUCUUACGCUGACCGUACUUCCAUGUACCACUGCGAUUACUCUAAAAGGGAUAAAUUUACCGCUUAUAUUCAUUAAAGUGCAGUGUUCAGAGAGUUUUAAAAAAACAAGCGUUGAUGGUGUCUAGCGCGUCUUUACCUGACCAAGUAUAGUUUUUCCACUUGUGUGUGAUACGUUGCUUUUCAAUUGACAAUCUGUUGUCGUUCGGUGUCCUGGCAACCUGCCUUGCAACAUUUGUCCACAUGAAACGUCUUCGUGGAAAAAACUCCCUCUCCUUCUAACUUUAGGCCAGCAUAACCCAACAUUAAUGUCACAGUUUAUUGAAAGAAAAGGAACUGAAGUGCAGCCUGUUUAACGGGAAGUAUUUAGCGUUAUAUUCGCUGGCGGCAACACACUACACAAACGGUUUGGCCUGGCAGGAGCAGGAAGGAUGAUUGAAAAGCUCAGUGUGACUUCCGAUAGACUCCUGUCACACCGGCAGCUCGCAUGUUGUCAGUCUUACUGUGGCAUCCCACUGCAUGGCAAGGAUAUGCUGAUUUACAGCAAUGUGGACAUAGAACAGAAGCCCCUGCUGCUAACUGGGCACCAUGGUGAGAUCAGUGCCGUGACUUUUGGAAAAGGAAGCGGACCUGUUCUCCUCUGCUCUGCCUCUGCUGAUUACAUCAUUGUCUGGGAUAUUGAACUGUGCCAGAGAAGAACACAGGAAGGUAAAAUCGCAGCUGGAACGGUUAUCGGGACUUUACUGGGUGAAGUCGUUUAUCUUUCAUUCUGUUUCUCUGAUGAACGAUUGGCUGCAUGCUCAGGAGCAACUGUAUAUAUUCUCAACUCAAAGAGACAAGAAGUGAUCUCUACCCUGACUAGCCACCUCGGACCUUUAACAUCAGCAGAGUUCUGUCCCUGGAAUAAAGACAUUCUUGUCACCACAUCUGAGGACCGCACUUUUAAGGUGUGGGAUUUAAAAACUGAAGCUGCUUGCUACCAGUCUUUUGUGCUUUCAGCCACUCCACUGCUUUGUGUGUUCUUCUUGGAGGAGAACAGACACCUUAUCACCGGCUCAACUGAUGGACAGGUGUGGUGCUUUUCUCUCCCUGAUGACAGCAAGUGUCACCUGGUGACCAAAAUGGACCUUCAGAAGAUGGAAAAAAGACAUCAAAUGCAUAAUGGGAUUGGGAGCCGUCAAGCAGAGGCUGCACAACAAUCAGCUGUAGAUAACGUGGAGACUUCAAAACCUGUCCUCAAAAUGGCUUUCUGUAGCUCAUGCACUGACACUAGCAAUGAGCAUGAAAAGGACAAGAGCUGGUUAUGUAUCGGAAGCUCUGAUGGCCUGUAUAUAGUGGAUCUGGCUGCCUCAGAACUCCUAACAGCACUAUAUUUCAAAGAUUACCCCAAGCUGAGCAUCACAAUGGCCGGGUCGUGGUCAAUCUCUCCAGCGUGGGAUAACUCUAUGGUGUUUUUAGUGAGCUCUUUGUUCACUCCAUGUGUGGCCCUUUUGGAGUUACGUCUGUGUGAACUAGGGAGGAUCUGGGUUUGUGGUGAAGGCUUUUCAGUGUUCCCGAGUUCUCCUCUGCUGCCUGAAUCUCCUCUGAAUGUUGAGUUAAAGAAGAAGGAGCCCAACCAUCCUAAAAAGAAAGGAGGAAUAAAGGAGCAGCCUCUGGUUUUCCACACAAAUGUGAAAUCUUCUGGAUAUACCACUGCCCCAAGGACUAUGUUUUCACCUAAAACAAAUAUUCAGAAGAACCCUCCUUCUAAAAAGGCUAACAGAGACAAAGGUUUACUCCUCAGAGAUUAUCCAGCAGACAGUGCAGCACCGACUGUUCCACACAUUCAUCUAAGAACUGGCAAGAAACCAGUCUACUGCCUUCAGUUUUCGGGUGACGGAAAACAAAUCCUUUGUGGUCUUGGCGACAGCUCAGUGUUAUUGUAUACGUCCUCUCUUACUGGCGAUCCAACUGCCUACACAGGGCACGACAAACCAGUGAGCAGUGUGAGCUGGAGCCUCAACAGACAGUGGUGGCUUAGUGCGUCAGAAGACCAGUCACUACGAGUCUGGACUCAUGGCAGCCCAGAGUCUGCCAUUAUCAUGGGGAACAGUAUGUUCUGCAAACCCAUCAGAGGUGCUCAGUUUUAUUACCUCGACAAAUUUCUGCUUCUGGCAUCUGGGCCUUCUCUACGCUUGUACCUGUAUAACGUGGACGUCACACGAGACAACAUCAAAAGAUAUCAGCAACGAAGUGUCGUCAAAUUGGCAAGAUGCUUUUCGACGGCUACAGCAACAGACAUCACCGCCUUGUCUGCAAUCAAUGAUUUCUUCUCUUACAUCGUUCUGGUGUGCGGUUCAGAUCGAUCUAUUCAACUAUUUGACAUGAACAAGGGCACAGUUGCCUCAGAGCUGCCUGAUGCCCACAGCAGAGUCGUCCACUGCAUUACACAGAACAAGGGCUCCAUUUUUAGUAGACAAGCGCCGGAUUCGUACAACCUCUUCCUCACCAGUGCAGUCACAGAUGGCGUGAAGAUUUGGGACCUUCGUACACUUAGGUGUGUGCGACGUUAUGAGAACCAUCUAAAUCGCUGCCAUCCAUGCUCAUCAGCCAUCUCACCGUGCGGCAGGUUUAUUGCCUCGGGCUCUGAGGAUAACUGUGCCUAUGUGUAUGACAUCCGUAGCAGCAGCUACCUCUACAAACUCCAAAAACACUCAGACACUGUGCUCAGUGUGGCUUUCAACCCUGCCACACCAGAGGUAUGAAAGAAAAAUGCUUAAAAGCAGAGGUCACAGUGAAAAGCAGUGUCAGUCAGAGUUCAUGUCGCCUGACCAAUUAAAGUCUUAAUUGGCCACAGUGCACUGAGUGUACUCUACCUGGUAGUCUAAAUACAAGCUGCUGACUGGGACCCUGGAUGGGAAGCUGAGACAGUUUCAGUCCAGCAGUGGGGCCCCGUCUGUCUCUUGACACCGGUGCUGCUGUGCAUAGCGUCGCCAACAUGACGGCGUAAUUACAGCAGGCUGCUGCAAAGAGCAUGCAGGUUUUAUUAAAGCAGUUCCACCCCCCUG